AGCGUUGUCCGGAAUCAUUGGGCGUAAAGCGCGUGUAGGCGGCCAGAAAAGUCCGCUGUGAAAACUCGAGGCUCAACUUCGAGCUGUCGGUGGAAACUUUCUGGCUAGAGUCCGGAAGAGGAGAAUGGAAUUCCUGGUGUAGCGGUGAAAUGCGCAGAUAUCAGGAAGAACACCCGUGGCUAAGGCGGCUCUCUAGUACGGUACUGACGCUGAGACGCGAAAGCGUGGGGAGCGAACAGG
rnacentral:rRNA from 1 species